GACGAACGCUGGCGGCGUGCUUAACACAUGCAAGUCGAACGGAAAGGCCCUGCUUUUGUGGGGUGCUCGAGUGGCGAACGGGUGAGUAACACGUGAGUAACAUGCCCUUGACUUUGGGAUAACUUCAGGAAACUGGGGCUAAUACCGGAUAGGAGCUCCUGCUGCAUGGUGGGGGUUGGAAAGUUUCGGCGGUUGGGGCUGGACUCGCGGCUUAUCAGCUUGUUGGUGGGGUAGUGGCUUACCAAGGCUUUGACGGGUAGCCGGCCUGAGAGGGUGACCGGCGACAUUGGGACUGAGAUACGGCCCAGACUGCUACGGGAGGCAGCAGUGGGGAAUAUUGCACAAUGGGCGGAAGCCUGAUGCAGCAACGCCGCGUGUGGGAUGACGGCCUUCGGGUUGUAAACCGCUUUCGCCUGUGACGAAGCGUGAGUGACGGUAAUGGGUAAAGAAGCACCGGCUAACUACGUG
rnacentral:rRNA from 1 species